UUAUCAGCUCAGGUGGCCAAACUUCUCUGCUUGUAUCCACAGCACAUUCAACUGCAGGGUAAGCUUCCCCACAAUGCACUGCCAAUGUGCCUCAAACUCUGCCACAGAGGAACUGUCUCUCAGGAGGAGAAGCAAGUUCAGCCUCUGAGGCUAAGGGUACGUCUUCACUAAC
rnacentral:sRNA from 1 species